UAGGGAAUCUUCCACAAUGGACGCAAGUCUGAUGGAGCAACGCCGCGUGAGUGAAGAAGGUUUUCGGACCGUAAAGCUCUGUUGUUGGUGAAGAAGGAUAGAGGUAGUAACUGGCCUUUAUUUGACGGUAAUCAACCAGAAAGUCACGGCUAACUACGUGCCAGCAGCCGCGGUAAUACGUAGGUGGCAAGCGUUGUCCGGAUUUAUUGGGCGUAAGGCGAGCGCAGGCGGAAGAAUAAGUCUGAUGUGAAAGCCCUCGGCUUAACCGAGGAAUUGCAUCGGAAACUGUUUUUCUUGAGUGCAGAAGAGGAGAGUAGAACUCCAUGUGUAGCGGUGGAAUGCGUAGAUAUAUGGAAGAAUACCAGUGGCGAAGGCGGCUCUCUGGUCUGCAACUGACGCUGAGGCUCGAAAGCAUGGGUAGCGAACAGGAUUAGAUACCCUUGGUAGUCCAUGCCGUAAACGAUGAGUGCUAAGUGUUGGGAGGCUUCCGCCUCUCAGUGCUGCAGCUAACGCAUUAAGCACUCCGCCUGGGGGAGUACGACCGCAAGGUUGAAAC
rnacentral:rRNA from 1 species